rnacentral:lncRNA from 1 species
AGAAACCCGAAAAUCAAUAAACGACGUGUAAUAAGCCAAUUUAGCCUGGCCCGAGACAAAGCAAAGUAAACAGAAUAGCAAAACAAAAAAGGAACCAAAAUAAAUCAAAACAAUGCAGUUUACAGGCCCAAUUUCAACUGAAAAACAAUAUUAACCCUAGCCCAAUACGAUGGCCCAAAACUAAAACAUUUGCAGCCAGAAACCUAGGGUUUCCCUCGCGCCGCGGCUGGCCUCCCCACGUACGGCCUUCAUUGUGCCUCCGUACGCCAGUGCACAGCCUCCGUACAUGCGCCACGCACACCACGUACCUGCAAAGAGGGACAAACACAACAGCAAAACAAAGAAAAAAAAGGGACAAAAGAUUGUAUUUUUUUUGUUUUCAUCAUUCGGCUAUAAAGCCCUUUUUUAUUUUUUGAUUGUAAGUUUUUUUUUACAGAGAUGCAUACUAAAAUACAAAAAAGCAACCAAAAAAUUGAAAGGUGAUUUCGAGUGCUUUUACAUUCUUGCUUUUCAAUCUAUUUUUCUUGGUUUUUCUUGAUCUUGCAUGUGAUUUUAACAUAGGAAAAUAAAAAGAAAAUGAGGGUUUACCUUUGCGAAGAGGCCAUCAAAAUCCUUAUCCACUUUGUCGAAAUCGAAGUUUGAGAUAGGAUUUCUGGGGCUGAAAUCGGCAAUCUUUGAGCCAGGGUUCUAGGCGAGGGGCGGGCGUCGUUCUCCACCGAUCGCAGUGGUGGUGGUUGGACUACGCAAAUUCUUGGGUCAGCUGAAUAAUGAUGAUAGGCUCUAGGUUUAUUUUUGUUUGUUCACUUUGUUUUUUGUUUUUUUUUUUGGAAAAGAAGGAAAUGGG